CCCUUAGAUGUUCUGGGCUGCACGCGCGCUACACUGAAGCGUUCAACGAGUAUUUCACCUUGCCCGGGAGGGUUGGGUAAUCUUUUUAAAACGCUUCGUGAUGGGGAUAGAUUAUUGCAAUUAUUAAUCUUCAACGAGGAAUUCCUAGUAAGCGCGAGUCAUCAGCUCGUGCUGAUUACGUCCCUGCCCUUUGUACACACCGCCCGUCGCUCCUACCGAUUGAGAGAUCCGGUGAAUAAUUCGGACUGCAGCAGUGCUUGGUCCUCCGGGCUUUGCAGCGGAAAGUUUAGUGAACCUUAUCACUUAGAGGAAGGAGAAGUCGUAACA
rnacentral:rRNA from 1 species